UAAGAGUACAUACAAUACUUCUGUCCUAAUAAGAGUAAGUUUAACUAACUAGUUUAUAGAAACACAAUAUAAAGUUGUUGUUACUGUGUUUAAACAAUCUGUUCUGGAUGUAGAAUCGCUGAAAUCACAAGCUUACACAAACAAUAAACUCGUUCACGUUUGCAGCAGAGCACACGUUCGCGCUGCAGCAGGCGCUGCUCCAGUGGGUUGCGAUGACAAAUUACGCGCAUUGCGCCGUGAGCGAGUAAUCACACGCUCCCGCUGGCAGAUAGCAAGGCAUGCUGCAAGCGCAUGUGCACAUCCAUCGGGGAAACAUGAAUCCUAGGGGGGCAUUGAAUUCUUCAUAAUAUCUGUACCCAGUGAUAGCGUAGGCAGCUGGUUUGGUGGGAGAAAGCUAACGGGACAGAUUAGCGUUAAUAUUCAGUGGCGGAGGAAGAGGAAGAUGGGUCCCAGUGCAAGACCUUAUUGCGGGGCCCCCUCCCCAAACGUUUUUAAUCGUAUUAAAGAUAAAACCGAAAAUGCAGAACACUAGUCAUACUGUACAUUGCGUCUCGUAAUGAUUUACUUGUCAGUGUGAAAUUGAAACUAAAAAAAAGGAAAAGCGCUUUGACAGAAUUUGUUUGGCUACCAUACUUACUGUACUUUUGGAUUUUUGAUGGAAGUAACAACUUCAGUGAGCAAAAGAUACAUUAAUGACAGAGCUUUAUUCGAUUUCCAAAAACUGGAACAGCAGACAUAAAGAGAGAAACUGAAAGGAGACAUCCUAUUGCCUGCUUUAACAAUACAAACAGAGGUUCCAUCAAUUAGCAGGAGAAUGCAGGCAGGUAAACCAGACAGCCAGGAGGAGGGUAUCUUCCCGGG